AGGUUCCGUCAGGGUUGCAGACAGGUACGAACACCUGUGGGAAGAGUUUCUUAGCUUGCUGCUCAGUGUAUUUCUUCUCUGCCACACACCUGGACGUAUCUGGAGACACAACACAGGUGGUGCUAUGCAGGUACAGGAUUAGACACUCAUCAUCUAUCAGGCCUGCCAAUGAAGCCCCUUUUAAAGAUGCAUGACUCCACUGCUUUGGAGAUCUUGAGAAGUACUAUAAACUUUAUGAUUCAUUUGUUCACAAACUCUGUCCAUUUUCUUUUCUAUAUAUAACCUCAACCUUUAUUUCUCAUCAUUUACUUUAAACACACAGUCAAUAUUCUGCUCAUCGUGUCAGUGUAAUAUAGAAAACAGAAAGUCCACAGAGAGCGAGUGCAUUAAAUUCAAACCGACAGGCAAGUCCUCUGGCGUUCUCUCUCUCUGACUGAUGUGGCACUGGUGUUUUUUCUUUUAUUUUUUCAGAGGAAAGGAAAGAAUGGUAAUUGUGAAAGAAAAUGAAGCAGGAAAUAAGACUUGGUUUCUUUUGCAGUGACAUGUGACUUCUUAGACACAGAAUAAUUCAAGAUGUUUCGGAAGUGGUGGAUCCAUGUGUGUGGUUGGGAUUUGGACCAAAAGUCCUACUGGAGUCAUCAGUAUCGCUAUGCCAGUCCAGUGGUAAAACAAUCACAGAUAUCUUUGUGUUGAGUCUGUGUGAGGUGAUGGUGUCCAGCAGGUUGUAAUGUAUUUGUGAAUUUGUGGAUGUCGUCGAUGCAGCUGGGCAGAAAACCCUCCAGAGCUCAUCAGUCUCGAAAUUUCAUUUUAAUGGAGACAUACUGUAAACUCACUCUCUUCACUGGGCCAAUCAUUACAAAACUUUCUGUCUGGGAUGGCAUGAGAGGAUGAAAAGAAAAGCAAUGAAAAAAGUGAAUAAGACAAUCCCAAAAUGCAUUGCAGGCAAAAAUGAGUAUACGAGGUGAGAUAAAUGCCAGCCUAUACCUUAUCAUUCAGUACUGAAAAAUAUCACAAAAAUAUAGUUCAGUCUAUUUAAACUUGGCUAUUUUACACAAUACUUGAGUGGAUUAUGUAUUUUAUUGUUUAUUAGAGUCUCAUGGCAUUUGCUUAUCGCAAUGGAUGGAUGCUGGAAAAUGUGUUCAAUAAAUAUGUUAAAUAAAAGAGUAAGGACGCUGAUCGCUGAGUGUUUCCAGAGUGGAAAAAUUUAAAAAUAGGUCAGAGCAAAAGAAAAGUUUCAAAAGCUGUAUUUUAUGCUUAGAAACAAUUAUUAUUUAUGCAUUUAACAUUUAUAUACUUCCCGUUCCAAUCUAAUCAUUCCUUUUUGGUUUUCUUUCUCUCCUUUUAGUGGAACAUAAUUCACCCUCUUUUCAUACCACUUUUCCUCUCUCUCUUUUUCUCACACCCUUUUUAAUCCCAAUGCAAGAAUGACACAUUGUGCUUACUAGUAGGGAAAUAGAGUGAACGGGAGACAGAAAGAAAGACAGCUCUGAGCAGAAGAGAAAGAAAAGAUGCAGGGCACGAGAGUCUUCCGGCCGAGCCCGAUACAAUGAGAGUGUCUGUAAGCCGUUUGACCUUUGACCUCUAUGGGUACUGCCCCUCCUCUCAUACAAAUGACCACUGAUCUCUCACAGAUAUGAAUGCACCACUGUACAUUUAUUUUUACAUGGACAAGAUCUCCAUCAAGAUCUUAGCACAGAUUUUCAAAAAGCACACAAGCUAAUUACUUUUUUUUAUUUUUUUUAUUUAGUAUUUAGUGAAAAUGCACCGGUCUUUGUAUAUUUUUAUAUACUGCUAGAUUUUUCGUAUUUAAUUCCCAGUCCAAUUAUAGUGAAUUUAUAGACAACAUAAAAUGGCAUUUGCAAUCAACAAGUAGUAAUACAUUGUGGAGCUUGCUUUGGUCCAUCAGGUUUUGAUUGGAUAGUGAAUAUUAUGCUAUGAUAUUAUUGGUUCACAUGAUUUUUUUCCUUGCUGAUGUGGCCUUGGUUACAUCAUCAGAAAAGAAAAGUUGUUCCAGAGGCAUAAAAUGUAAGUUAAUACAUUUUUAUUUCAAUUUUAUAUUAUUAUUAUUUUAUAUUUGAUGGGGUUUUUUAACAAACUUUUUUUUUAAUUUAGGAUGCUCUGAUACGGAAAAUAAGGAGUAAAGCUGAGCUAUACCAACGGUCUGCAUUAAUCGUGUCACCUGACUUCAGGAACUUUCAAUGACACUGCAAACAUCACCUCACCGACAUUCAAGAGUGGACAGGAAAUCGACUUGCUUUGUGUCGGGACAUUAUCUGCACAGCUGUGACCCUGUGCCCCUUCCGCUCCGUCAUUCUCAGCGCUGCUGUCAGUGAGCUCACAGGAGGCCCGACAGAGAUGUCAGGAAACAGAUUCUGCCCGGAGCGCCGCCGAGCCAACCACAAUCGGCCACGAUGGUCAUCUCGCGAUCGCCGCCAAGACAGAGUUCACAAUCCUCACACCCAGGCCAAGCGAUUGCAGCCAACGCGGUUCAAUUCGGUCACAGCCGGUGUCUGAGACAUGGACAAAACCAACACGGCCACCACAGAGAUCUCAUUACAGCCAAGACACAUUUAGCGAUUCAACACUUUAACAGUUGAAAUCGACCCAAACGAGACCCCACAAAACCAGACACGGCCAAAUAAUCACCAAUCAAUUCAGCCGCAGCCAAACCGAGACACGUCCAUUGAAUAUCACUGGGGGAAUCUGAAACCACCCACGACUGCUGUCUGUAUACAGCAUCAACAGCUGGUCACAGAGACACCAGAGGACCACCAGAACCAGUCCAAACAGACCUCAGAUGCUUUCUGCACCAUGAGAACAUUGACAGGAUCACAUUCAGGACUGUUUCAGAACAAACACUACAGACACUAAAUACUGUUAAUUAUACAGUAUUUAGUAAUAUAUUAUGUAUUCAUGUUUUCAAACAGUAUAUUUGUUGUGUGUUGCUAUGCUGUUGCUAGGUAUUGCACACAGGCCAAAGCCAAAAGAUAAUUUUAUCAUUUCUCUAUUUUGAAAAUCAUAAUUCCAAUCUCCUAGAAAAAGCAUUGCACAGUUUAUAUUUUGCAUGUUUUGCAUGAAGUAUUUUGCUGAAACGUGCAUGGCAAGUUAUGCUCUGAAGUUUAAUAAUGUAAGCAAUUUGUUCAAAUCACUAAUCCUAAGUAUGAAUAAUAGAAAUGUUUGCUUUAGCAAGUAUCACUAAUGAGUGAGAUAAAUGUUCCUCAGUGGUUCAGCAAAGUACAUAGAAACCAAUAAACUGACCCAAAGAA